AGUGGUACUGUUGCUAAUAUGCACUUGCGCGUAUAUUCGUUCAAUCUACCCGAGCCUCCUAGACAGGAAUAAAGAAGGGCUCCUUGGCGUGUUCUGGAAGUGUGCCCGCAUAGGUUAGUACGCACGAACAGGCGAGCGCAAAAGCCCGUGGGUUGCGGGAUGCUGCAUCGCCAUGGCGCUGAGCAUCCUAUUCUGGACGUGACCUCUUCGGCCGUCAGUACUUGACUCUUCAUAGUGGAAGCCAAAAGAAAAUCCUGCAGCUGAUUUGACUGAAGCGUUGUGCCGUCACCGACUGUCCUGUUAGUGCAUCAUGUUACGAGAGGCUGUUUGCAUUGUUCCCACAGCCAACAACCCUAACCACCUGUGUUAACGGCUCUUCAGUCAUUUACCUGUUAGCCUACAACCUCGGAGCACUGUCGUGCGAUUUGUACGCAUUCAGUAUUGUUCCCAUUGUAGAGAUCAGUGGACAUGUGAGCAGUAAAAUUUUUUUCUUUUA